GACGAACGCUGGCGGCGUGCUUAACACAUGAAGUCGAACGGAAAGGCCCUGCUUUUGUGGGGUGCUCGAGUGGCGAACGGGUGAGUAACACGUGAGUUACCUGCCCUUGACUUUGGGAUAACUUCAGGAAACCGGGGCUAAUACCGGAUAGGAGCUCCUGCUGCAUGGGGGGGGGUGGGAAGUUUCGGCGGUUGGGGAUGGACUCGCGGCUUAUCAGCUUGUUGGUGGGGUAGUGGCUUACCAAGGCUUUGACGGGUAGCCGGCCUGAGAGGGUGACCGGCCACAUUGGGACUGAGAUACGGCCCAGACUCCUACGGGAGGCAGCAGUGGGGAAUAUUGCACAAUGGGCGGAAGCCUGAUGCAGCAACGCCGCGUGCGGGAUGACGGCCUUCGGGUUGUAAACCGCUUUCGCCUGUGACGAAGCGUGAGUGACGGUAAUGGGUAAAGAAGCACCGGCUAACUACGUG
rnacentral:rRNA from 1 species